CCUACGGGGGGCAGCAGUGGGGAAUAUUGGACAAUGGGCGAAAGCCUGAUCCAGCCAUGCCGCGUGUGUGAAGAAGGCCUUCGGGUUGUAAAGCACUUUCAGUGGGGAAGAAAGCCUUGGGGCUAAUACCCUCGAGGAAGGACAUCACCCACAGAAGAAGCACCGGCUAACUCCGUGCCAGCAGCCGCGGUAAUACGGAGGGUGCGAGCGUUAAUCGGAAUUACUGGGCGUAAAGCGCGCGUAGGCGGUCUGAUAAGCCGGUUGUGAAAGCCCCGGGCUCAACCUGGGAACGGCAUCCGGAACUGUCAGGCUAGAGUGCAGGAGAGGAAGGUAGAAUUCCCGGUGUAGCGGUGAAAUGCGUAGAGAUCGGGAGGAAUACCAGUGGCGAAGGCGGCCUUCUGGACUGACACUGACGCUGAGGUGCGAAAGCGUGGGUAGCAAACAGGAUUAGAUACCCUGGUAAUC
rnacentral:rRNA from 1 species